rnacentral:lncRNA from 1 species
CUUAUAAAAUCAAUUUUACGCAUUCGAUCUCCUAUUAACUUCCCUCUUUUAACCCUCUUUCGUUUAUCCAAUGCUGUGAAACACGUUGUAGGUUUUCUAUAGACAUCGAACCCCGGAUCCCCUGAGGAUGUAGCUCUAGCUCCGUUGUGUGAAAAAUUACUGCACCAAAAUAUUGUAAAAAAAAACUGCACCAGAAUGAUAACGCCGAUUGGUGAACGAGCCCUUGUUGCCAUUUUCUCGAGCAAAAUGAGCUACAUCGGUCUAAUCAAGGAAGAAAAAAACCUCGGGAGAAAUUGAGAAUCAAGUACUCCCUCUGACCCAUAUUACUUGUCGCUGAUUUAGUACAACUAUGUACUAAAUUUGGGUCAAGUAAUAUGGGUUAGAACUCUCAGAAGGAGUACUUAAUUACUUCAAUGGUUGACGGAGUAGUUAUGCCAAUAUCCAAAAUCAAAAUCCACCCCGGAGAUCAAACCUUAAGGGCUAUGGGUGUCUUAUCAAUGCAUUCUCAUCGUUUUACAGUGGCAGACGAUUUAUCUACUCCAUCCGUCCUGAAAUAAGUGACGUGUUUUUGUAAAUGAUACCUGAUACAAAAAAAAGGCCAGAUAAGCUGAUAGCCUCUUCGUCCGCGGAACUCUCCACCCUAUGCUUUGAGUAGUCCCCAGUUUGGCCUUGGCUGGAGUCUGGUCGGUUCGGAAUUCGGAUCGCGGAAGACUGUAGCCCACGAGAUGAAAGAAGGGACCGAAGAAAUGGUCCAAACUUCCAAAUCCGCAAUCAUUUUCGCGAAAAAAGGGAAGCUUCAUCUAAUGCACAUAUUAUCUCUUACGGUUUCACUAUACCUAAGUUGCCUGAUUUUUAGUUAGAGAUAAGUUGAUUACUCAGCCGUACGUUGGAUAUGAUUUGUGCUCUUAGAUUCGAAACGGAUGAUAAAAAAAUAGGGACUGGCUACGGCUCAGUCGGCUGAGAAAUUAUAUUCCAGUCGACCGGCCAGGCAAGCGGUAGAAACAAACAAAAAUCGCGAUCGAUCAAUCCUGUGCCGUGCAUCCAUGCAUGCAUGGCUAGUUAAACACGAGUUAGUAGCUAGCACUAGAUACCUACAACGCUGGCGUGCAUGUAUGCCCGUUCGAUCGGUACCUUCUUCCUAUUAAUUGAUUUCAAUUUUUUGUCUCAAGCACUAGCUGUCUGUUGUCUGGUAGCUAGAUUGGUGAGUGCAUGUCUAAGUUGCAAUUACAAGAACAUCAACUUGCAAAAAUUAGCACACACUUGGCAACAAAUUGCGCUUGCAAAAAUUAAACUAAUUAUUAAAUUAAGUUGCAGUUGCGGAAAGUCAGUACACAAAUUUCGCUUUUAAUUUAUGAAAAGAUACUAAGUUGCAACUCCAAAAAAAAUUACGGCCUGACUUCAAAAAUUACGGUUGCAAUUAAAAAAUUAUAGUUGCAACCCCAUGCGGUGGGAAAAUUAAGGGCGUGAUUUCAAAAAUUACAGUUUGCAACUGAAAAAUUGCAGUUGCAACAUGGUUUUUAGAAUAUAAAAUAAACGUGAAAGUUACCUAGUAUUGGUAUUUUAUGUUAGGGAAAAAAUAUAAAAUUGUGGGUGAAACUUAGAGUGUGCAAGACUCAAAUAAAUGAAUAAUAAAGAGAAACACAUAUUGUGUGCAAUACUAAUUUAGCAUGCAACUAAUUACCCUAACCACUCACUCUUAACACUAGAGUAAAAAAACAUAAAAUAGAAGGCAUAAUGAAAACAAAGGAAAGUCAAGAGAAACAAAAAAGAAAACAAAAAACAGAAAUAUAUAAUGUAGUGCGGAGGACUUGAACCCGCGACCCAUUCAAAAGGCAGAUAAUGCUAAACCACCAAUUCAACUAGAUUUUGCUGUGCAUGGUGAGUUGUCAUCCUAUUUAUCUCGGAUCAAUUUUUCUGUCGACUCAGAAAUCAAAUUUCUCGUCGACUGCUCCCUAGCAAUUCCGAAAAAAAUAAGGAUAAAAUGAGAUCUAGAUACUAAUGCAACGGUUCUAAUUCGUCAAUUUAGAUUUAAAAAUUUUACUUAAAAAUCAGACAAUUUAGAUAUAUCCACAACCCUCAAAUUUGUGCCCCCGUGUUAUACAUCUAAUGAAUAGCGACGCCACGGCAGCCGCGUGCAGUAUAUAGGCGUGAAUGGUCGGCACUCUUCAUUGUUUUGCUUCGUUAUGCUUCUUGCAACAGCCAACAGGCUCUCUUCAAAAAAAAGAGAGAGAAAAAAAGCCAACAGGCAACUACUACAUGUCUUUCGCCAAUAAGCAGUCCGUGCAUGCCUGAUUUCGGGGCUGGGGGAUGAUGGACUUUGGGUGUGCGUUAGGCUUAGCCACUUUAAUUAGCUAGGUAUAAUUACGUGACACGACGUGAGCCGACCACACAUGCAUGAUUGCGGUUGCGGGGCAGCACAGCACGGCGUUUUUGUCACGGCGAACUUGACGUGAUUACCAUAGCUAUCGCGCAACGGUCAUUCGGUCGGGGUCGGGGUCGGGGUCCAGUUCCUGUAGUACGAAACCGACUUAAGUAGAUUUGUGCCGACACACAAAGAUGGUAUUAUCUGCAAGGGUUUAGUGGCUGAGAUCUCAUGGGAUCGGUCAUCGAUCGCGUCCUGAUUUAGUGGAAGUUGACAUGCAAAUUCCGCUCUCGUUGCCAAAAGUAACAACUCCUUUUUUUCCUUCCAUGGCGUUAAGCACCGGCGUCGUCCCCGCAGGGAUCUCGACAUUUCCGACCAGCUCGCUUAGCCUGGACUCCAGAAACAGAAAGG